UAAGAAAAAGCCAAACCUGUUGAGAAGCAGGGACGGAAAGCUACGGGUCUUAAUGAGAUAGCCGAGUUGCACAUU
rnacentral:ncRNA from 1 species